GAUCCUGUCUGAUCUCAGAAGCUAAGCAGGGUUGGGCCUGGUUAGUACUUGGAUGGGAGACCACCUAAGAAGACCAGGUGCUGUAGGUG
rnacentral:rRNA from 1 species